UGGGAAAUUUUGGACAAUGGGGGCAACCCUGAUCCAGCAAUGCCGCGUGUGUGAAGAAGGCCUUCGGGUUGUAAAGCACUUUUGUCCGGGAAGAAAUCGCACCUGAUAAUACCGGGUGUGGAUGACGGUACCGGAAGAAUAAGGACCGGCUAACUACGUGCCAGCAGCCGCGGUAAUACGUAGGGUCCAAGCGUUAAUCGGAAUUACUGGGCGUAAAGCGUGCGCAGGCGGUUGUGCAAGACCGAUGUGAAAUCCCCGGGCUUAACCUGGGAAUUGCAUUGGUGACUGCACGGCUAGAGUGUGUCAGAGGGGGGUAGAAUUCCACGUGUAGCAGUGAAAUGCGUAGAGAUGUGGAGGAAUACCGAUGGCGAAGGCAGCCCCCUGGGAUAACACUGACGCUCAUGCACGAAAGCGUGGGGAGCAAACAGG
rnacentral:rRNA from 1 species